GACAGAGGGUGCGAACGUUACUCGGAAUCACUGGACGUAAAGCGCGUGUAGGCAGACAGGAAAGUCAGGUGUGAAAUCCCUGGGCUCAACCUAGGAACUGCAUCUGAAACUUCCUGUCUAGAGUGUCGGAGAGGGAAGCGGAAUUCCUGGUGUAGAGGUGAAAUUCGUAGAUAUCAGGAGGAACACCGGUGGCGAAAACGGUUUCCUGGACGGCUACUGACGCUGAGACGCGAAAGUGUGGAGAGCAAACAGG
rnacentral:misc_RNA from 1 species